rnacentral:rRNA from 1 species
UCGCCUGUUUAUCAAAAACAUGUCUUCUUGAAUAUAAUUUGAAGUCUGACCUGCCCACUGAAUUAAAUAUUUGAAGGGCCGCGGUAUUUUGACCGUGCAAAGGUAGCAUAAUCAUUAGUCUUUUAAUUGAAGGCUAGAAUGAAUGGUUGGACGAGGUAUUGACUGUCUCAGUGUGAUUGAGAUUAGAAUUUAACUUUUAAGUCAAAAGGCUUAAAUGUUUUUAGAGGACGAGAAGACCCUAUAGAGCUUUAUAUUUUUAGGUAAUUGUUUAUUUAGUUUAUUUUUUACAAGGAUCGAAAAAGUAUUUUGUUGGGGUGACAGGAAGAUAAAUAAAACUCUUUUUAACUUAUUAACACUGAUUUGUGAAUUAUUGAUCCAUCAAUAUUGAUUAUAAGACUAAGUUNCCUUAGGGGAUAACAGCGUAAUCUUUUUCGAGGAGUUCUUAUCGACAAAAAGGGGUUGCGACCCUCCGAUGUUGGAUUAAAGGGUAAUUUUGGGUGUAGAUGUCC